AAAAAAACCCAGAAAGAUAAGGAGAAGGCUCUGGAAAGAUUCCCCGCUUCUCCUCUUUCCCCGUCUCCUCUGCUCCAUGACCGCCGCCUUCCUCCGACUCCCUCGCCACAGUCGCCGCCGUCCUCCACAGGUAACUCGUUCCAGUUCUGUUGCCAUCCGCUCCUCCGACCUCCACCGCAAACCAUCGCUCACCUCCUCCACCGCCGCCUGAGUCAACCUGCAUCCGCUACCCCCGGUCGCCUUCGAUCUCCCCAACAUCCAUCACCGCUCUGACUCCACCACCGUCUGCGGCCGCAUCCCACCACCCUUGGCCCUACCCAGCAGGGCUGCCUUUUACGUGUUGCUUGCACCCCGUGCUCCCUCCUCCUCCAGAUCCGAGUCACUCCAAUCUACAUGCAUCAAGACGCCCCUAUUCUUCCGACAUGACAGCAGCUGAUCUGUUUUCUUGUGCUAUUUACUUUUAGGAACUCUCCGAGAAUUAAGGAACCCUCUGUUUUGCUUGGAACACUUGGCCUAGUUGUCUGCCCCUCCUCUUCUGUGCUUUACAGCUUCUCCAUAACCAUGGAGAAACCUGAAGAUCCAAGUGGAGAAAAGAAAGGUUGGCAAGCAAGCUUUCUUGAACCAAUGAUGAAAGAGUAUGUCGAUGCGGCAAAGUUUUGUGGUCAAAAUGGAUGGAGAAAGGAGUUGGGGCAUGACAAGCAAAACCUAUCUCAGUUAUUUACGAUGAGGGGAGUACAAAGAGGGCCUCUGUGUGAUUCUCCUUGACGCCUUCCCUGCUCUCCCUGCAUGGCUUCGCCUCGCUCCACAUCCAGGCCGACGCGAGAGGCAGCUCCGAUCCGUCAUCAAGGUUCCUCUCUCACCCUCUGUGUCGAGGGUUCAGUUCGUUCUGGUAGAGGAAAAAUGUAUAAGAAAGUAUAACUUCAAUACUCUGCAAUUGUUAUCUUCUUUGUAGUGUAGCCAGUCACAAUAUUGUCAUUUGUAGUGCACUUGUAGAGUUCAGGUCCAUGAUAUGCAGAACAUCUUUAGAUCAGUUUUCUCAUACUGGCACGUAACAGCAGGGAUGAAUGUAUUAAGCUCUCCACAAUUCAGUUCCUCUUUUAUUUUAAUAGCUCCACAUGUGUCGUCUGUCAA